ACAGUGAAGCGCACGUCACGUCUGCUACAUCCACUUCCGCCGGAUAGACGUGUGCGUUCCACUGGCAAUGGAACGCACAAUACUUCCGGUAACGCGACUAUCAGCCGCUAUCGGUUGUUCUUUUGGUUUUAAAUGGUUGUGAUUGUGUUCACAUGUUGUGUAAUUAGUUGAUGUUAUAGGACAUUCGAUUGGCUGCACAUGUAUCCUUGAUUACACAUGUUAAACACUUGAAUACCAGUGUUUUUUGUUAUUUCCUGUUGGAUGAUUGAUGGGCGGGGUUUGUGAUAUGCCUCUGCUAUAAAAGUGCUCCAGGGUUCAUUGUGUGUCAUGGGCUGCUGGGUGAGAACCUGCUGUAAUCUUGUUAGUCUUGAAAAAGGCUCAGAUGGAGCCGAAACGUCGACACCUUUUGCUGACAUGCUGUUAACUGUCUCUAUGUGAGACACACCAAUAAAGUUUUCAUCAUCAAGGAAGUGAUAUGUCUCUGGAUCAAGAUGCAGACUUCAUCACCAGCCUACUAGAAAUGUACCAUGGCCAUGAAUGUCUGUGGAAGAUCAAAACCAAGGGGUAUUCGGAUAAAGUGCUGUGGAAUGUGGCCUUGGAGGAGCUAGUGGAGUACUGUAGGCUCUUUGUGUCCGGUGCUGACAAGAACUGGGUAAAGAAAGAGAUACAGAACCUGCGUACGGUGUUCCUUAAAGAACACAAAAAAUGGAACAGUCCAAAAGAUCUGGAGCAGGUUCCUUCCAGGUUUACAUGACCUGGCUCUGGUACUACCCCAUGCUGGAGUUUGACCUGGACAGGUUUUACCUCCCUCCCUUGAACUGCCACACCAGAGCCUGAAGAGGGUGAACUAUCUUUGUAUCUAGUGGAAGUCUGGAGAUUCCCACCACCCCAGACUUCAGUCUCCUGGAUACAGAAGAAUCCCAGACCCAAGAUACGACCCCUGAAGCACCAGCUACCCCUGAUACCUCUGCAGCACCAGCUCCUCCUCCGUGCCCCCGGAAGAGAACCCAAAGAAGAAAAAAAAAACACCAGCCAGGAGGGCGAAGACCUCAUCUUUGAGGAGAUCAAGGCAAGACUUGCCCAGCCCCCCGACCGCUACACAAGAUUUGGGGAAUUCUUGGCCUCUGCCAGGCGCAACCUGCCACCUGGGCAAGCGGAGCAGAUUGAGCGUCUAAAUUUAAAGAUGAUUAACAAGGCCCGAAAAGCGCAACUACACAACAAUGUCGUACUGUUCGACCGCCUUCCUCUCACUGCUCCUCCCACCCAACCCCAUCCUAUUCCGCCCACCUAACCCCAUCUCAUUCCGCCCACCCAACAACAGCCUACUCCCACCCACCUGCUCCUCAGCCAUAUACUCACUCUGCGAUGCUGGAGGCAGAGGAGGACUUGUCCCAGUUUGAAAUUUUGUAGGCAUUUUAUAAUUCCCAAUAAAUAUGGUGCGGUACAGGCUAUAUGGUGUU